rnacentral:antisense_RNA from 1 species
UGAAGACUGAGUUUUCAGUUCAUGUGAGAUCUGAUUGUUUAAAAGAGUGCAGCACUUCCUCCACCUUGCUCCCUCUCUUGCCACUGAUGUGCCUGCUUCCCCUUCACCUUCUGCCUGGAUUGUAAGCUCCCUGAGGCCCUCACCAGAAGCAGAUGCCAGCACCACGCUUCCUAUACAGCCUGCCAAAAUGAGCUCCUGAAUUUCGCAGACAAAUCCAGACCCCUGUGUGGAAAGCCUGCAGUGGUGUUCUCUGUCUUCCCACAGCACUCCCUGCAGCCAGGAAUUCUAGGGGAGCACCUGACACGAGGUAUAUGCCCAGAUGGCCUGAAGUAACUGAAGAAUCACAAAAGAAGUGAAAAUGCCCUGCCCCGCCUUAACUGAUGACAUUCCACCACAGAAGAAGUGAAAAUGGCCGGUCCUUGUCUUAACUGAUGACAUUACACCACAAAAGAAGUGAAAAUGGCCUGUCCUUGCCUUAAGUGAUGAAUUACCUUGUGAAAGUCCUUUUCCUGGCUCAUUCUGGCUCAAAAACCUCCCCAACUGAGCACCUUGUGACCCCCACUCCUGCCCGCCAGGGAACAAUCCCCCUUUGACUGUAAUUUUCCUUUACCUACCCAAAUCUUAUAAAAUGGCCCCACCCCUAUCUCCCUUUGCUGACUCUCUUUUUGGACUCAGCCUGCCUGCAUCCAGGUGAUUAAAAGCUUUUAUUGCUCAC